CAGUCCGACGGUCGUUUAACUUGCCUCCCAAUCCUUCACACAUUGAUGGCGUCUGGAAAAAGAGAUGGGCUCUAAACUACAAAAGAUUUGACUGUCGAGACUUGACGGAGAUGCCAAGAACUGGACGAGUCGCAACCUGACGUUUAGAUUGCUGAAGAUUCCGAUGUGGAAUCUCUCUCCUAGUCGGAAGGGAUAUUGAGCUCAUUUUUCCCUAUGAAAUAGCUUAAGUUUGUAAUAAAACGACUGAGACUGUGAUCUUCCACAUACGAGGCUGGAAUCAGAAUUGUACCAUAGCACUUAAAAGAAAGAUAGUUUUAUGUCAUGUAUGUACAUAUUAUUGAAUGACAUAGAGAUAUUUGAGAACGUUGAAUUGUUGAAGUAGCUUUUGUACAUUUUCCAUGACUAUAUUUGCUACUGCAUCUCUGUCGUUGCACGCAUGUGGGGUUUAUAUACCAGAUCAGUCUGAUAUUACGUAUAUCGUAUCAAAAUCCCAGCAACAUAUUUCCAUGUUACGUAGGUUUGUAUGGUAAUAAAAUGAUACCGAUGCUACGGA